CCCUUAGAUGUUCUGGGCCGCACACGCGCUACACUGAAGGAGGCAGCGUGUACUCCUGGAUCGAAAGAUUUGGGUAACCCGCGAAUCUCCUUCGUGCUAGGGAUUGAGGUUUGCAAUUAUCCUUUAUGAACGAGGAAUUCCCAGUAAGUGCAAGUCAUAAGCUUGCGCUGACUACGUCCCUGCCCUUUGUACACACCACCCGUCGCUACUACCGAUUGAAUGAUUUAGUGAGGACUUCGGACUGGGACCGAUGCGGCUUUCGGGCUGCGUCGGUAUUCUGGAAAGAUGUCCAAACUGUAUCAUUUAGAGGAAGUAAAAGUCGUANCA
rnacentral:rRNA from 1 species